GGGGGUAGUGGCGGAUCCUGGGCUGUGUUCCCCAGCACCCUGGGCUCCAGGGCCUGCCCUGCUGGAAUCCCGCUCCCAGGGUGCGCAGCCCCCU
rnacentral:pre_miRNA from 1 species